rnacentral:rRNA from 1 species
AUUGAACGCUGGCGGCAUGCCUUACACAUGCAAGUCGAACGGCAGCACGGGUGCUUGCACCUGGUGGCGAGUGGCGAACGGGUGAGUAAUACAUCGGAACAUGUCCUGUAGUGGGGGAUAGCCCGGCGAAAGCCGGAUUAAUACCGCAUACGAUCUACGGCUGAAAGCGGGGGACCUUCGGGCCUCGCGCUAUAGGGUUGGCCGAUGGCUGAUUAGCUAGUUGGUGGGGUAAGGCCUACCAAGGCGACGAUCAGUAGCUGGUCUGAGAGGACGACCAGCCACACUGGGACUGAGACACGGCCCAGACUCCUACGGGAGGCAGCAGUGGGGAAUUUUGGACAAUGGGCGAAAGCCUGAUCCAGCAAUGCCGCGUGUGUGAAGAAGGCCUUCGGGUUGUAAAGCACUUUUGUCCGGAAAGAAAUCCUUGGCCCUAAUACGGUCGGGGGAUGACGGUACCGGAAGAAUAAGCACCGGCUAACUACGUG